UAUUGCAAAAUGGGCGAAAGCCCGAUGCAGCAACGCCGCGUGGGCGAUGAAGGCCUUCGGGUCGUAAAGCCCUUUUUGAGGGGAUGAGGAAGGACAGUACCCUCAGAAUAAGCCUCGGCUAACUACGUGCCAGCAGCCGCGGUAAAACGUAGGAGGCGAGCGUUAUCCGGAUUUACUGGGCGUAAAGCGCGUGCAGGCGGAUUGGAGAGUUGGAUGUGAAAGCUCCCGGCUUAACUGGGAGAGGUCGUUCAAUACUUCCAGUCUUGAGUGCAGUAGAGGGAAGUGGAAUUCCGGGUGUAGUUGUGAAAUGCGUAGAUAUCCGGAGGAACACCAGUGGCGAAAGCGGCUUCCUGGACUGUAACUGACGCUCAGACGCGAAAGCUAGGG
rnacentral:rRNA from 1 species